UACGGAGGAUGCAAGCGUUAUCCGGAUUCAUUGGGUUUAAAGGGUGCGUAGGCGGGCUAUUAAGUCAGUGGUGAAAUCCUGCAGCUUAACUGCAGAACUGCCGUUGAUACUGAUAGUCUUGAGUUUGGUUAAGGUAGUCGGAAUGUGUAAUGUAGCGGUGAAAUGCUUAGAUAUUACACAGAACACCAAUUGCGUAGGCAGCUUACUGAGCCGACACUGACGCUGAGGCACUAAAGCGUGGGGAUCAAACAGGA
rnacentral:rRNA from 1 species